CACUAUACUACAUUAACACUACACUAAAAUACUCCACUAUACUACAUUAACACUACACUACACUAAAAUACUCCACUAUACUACAUUAACACUACACUACACUAAAUACUCCACUAUACUACAUUAACACUACACUACACUAAAAUACUCCACUAUACUACAUUAACACUACACUAAAAUACUCCACUAUACUACAUUAACACUACACUAAAAGACUCCACUAGACUACAUUAACACGACACUAAAAUACUCCACUAUACUACAUUAACACUACACUAAAAUACGCCACUAUACUACAGUAACACUACACUAAAAAUACUCCACUAUACUACAUUAACACUACACUAAAAUACUCCACUAUACUACAUUAACACUACACUAAAAUACUCCACUAUACUACAUUAACACUACACUAAAAUACUCCACAUACUACAUUAACAUACACUAAAAUACUCCACUAUACUACAUUAACACUACACUAAAAUACUCCACCUACUACAUUACAUUAACACUACACUACACUAAAAUACUCCACUAUACUACAUUAACCACUACACUAAAAUACUCCACUAUACACAUUAACACUACACUACACUAAAAAUACUCCACUAUACUACAUUAACACUACACUAAAAUACUCCACUAUAUACAUUAACACUAUACACACUAAAAUACUCCACUAUACUACAUUAACACUACACUAAAUACUCCACUAUAACAUUUAACACUACACUACAAUACUCCACUAUACUACAUUAACACACUACACUACAAUACUCCACUAUACUACAUUAACACUACACUAUAAUACACUAAAAUACUCCACUAUACUACAUUACACUAUAAUACACUAAAAUACUCCACUAUACUACAUUAACACUACACUAAAUACUCCACUAUACUACAUUAACACUACACUAAAAUACUCCACUAUACUACAUUAACACUACACUAAAAUACUCGCUAUACUACAUUAACACUACAAUACACUAAAAUACUCCACUAUACUACAUUAACACUACACUAAAAUACUCCACUAUACUACAUUAACACUACACUAAAAUACUCCACUAUACUACAUUAACACUACACUAAAAUACUCCACUAUACUACAUUAACACUACACUACACUAAAUACUCCACUAUACUACAUUAACACUACACUAAAAUACUCCACUAUACUACAUUAACCACUAC
ensembl:lncRNA